AUGUCAAGGUACAGCCACCGCAUCGAGAUGCCCGCUGGCGCGUACAAGAUGGACAAGAUCAAGGCCGAGAUGAAGAACUUCGUGCUGAAGCUGACCGUGCCCAAGGUGAAGGAGGAGGAGCGCAAGGACGUGUUCCAGGUGCGAUCGAGUAGGGAGGCGAGCCGAGUAGUCGUAGUGGUAGUAGCACUCAUGGAAGACGGAUCGAGUCUAGCAGUGGUAGUGGUAGUGCUCAUGGAGGAUGGCCUGCGCGAGUGUGAGAGACGCCUUGUUGAUGUGAUCAUGUUUCGUGUCUUUCUGCCCUGUUUUGCUUCGUUGAUCGUCUUGGAUCGUCGUCUCUGA
rnacentral:rRNA from 1 species